GACGAACGCUGGCGGCGUGCUUAACACAUGCAAGUCGAACGGAAAGGCCCUGCUUUUGUGGGGUGCUCGAGUGGCGAACGGGUGAGUAACACGUGAGUAACCUGCCCUUGACUUUGGGAUAACUUCAGGAAACUGGGGCUAAUACCGGAUAGGAGCUCCUGCUGCAUGGUGGGGGUUGGAAAGUUUCGGCGGUUGGGGAUGGACUCGCGGCUUAUCAGCUUGUUGGUGGGGUAGUGGCUUACCAAGGCUUUGACGGGUAGCCGGCCUGAGAGGGUGACCGGCCACAUUGGGACUGAGAUACGGCCCAGAAUCCUACGGGAGGCAACAGUGGGGAAUAUUGCACAAUGGGCGGAAGCCUGGUGCAGCAACGCCGCGUGCGGGAUGACGGCCUUCGGGUUGUAAACCGCUUUCGCCUGUGACGAAGCGUGAGUGACGGUAAUGGGUAAAGAAGCACCGGCUAACUACGUG
rnacentral:rRNA from 1 species